GCUCAAAAUGCCGAGGAAGCCCUGUAGGUCAGGUAACAUCUAUAGAGGGAAAUGAAAGUCGACGUUUCGGGCCGAGCCCCUUCAUAAGGCCUUCAACUUUCUCGUCGGCCUCCUACAUUGUUCUAAGCUGCAGUUGGCAGUGAGUUCAACAGCUUCAGAUCGUGGAACAUUAUAGGCGGUCCCUUUUCCCGCUACAAUCAAGUUCCGACUUAAUUCCUAAACUUCCAGAAUAUUAAGUUGGAAAUCAAACUGAAAUGUAGCUCCCGCAGAAACACUCAGCAGGUCAGCCAACAUUUGUGGAUGAUGUCUCAAAGUCAAGAGUCAAAGUUAGCUUGAGAUUCAUUUUCUUGCAGGCAUUUAACAGAUAUUAAAAAAUAUGUAUUUGAAUUAAUGGAAAACUAUACAUAAAGAAGGACUGGCAAACAACCGUUGUUUAAAAGAACACAAGAAGUGCCAGUAAAAAAAAGUUGUGGAGUCCUUGAAAGUAAGUGUAGGUUGUGGAAUCUCUUCAUAGUUGUGAGUGAAGUUAUCCACACUAGUUCUAAAGUUCUGUCACAGACAUCUGUGGAGGCCUAAGACUGUGGAUAUAUUUAAAGUGGAAAUAGAUAGUUUCCUGAUUGCCCAGGGGAAACAAAGGUUAUGGUGAGAAGGCAGGUGUAUGGGAUUGAGUGGGAUCAGCCACAGGCAGCAGACUCAAAGGGCUGAAUGGCUUGAUUUUGCUCCUAUGUCCUAUGUCAGGAGCCUGAUGGUUUUAGGGUAACAACUGCUCUUGAAUCUAGUAGCAUGGGACCUAAGGGUCCUCUACAUCCUGUCUGAUGGUAGUAGCGAGAUGAACAUGUGGAUGAUGGAUGCUGAUUUCCUGUGACAGUGCUCCAUGUAAAUGUACUCAAUAGUGGAGAGGGCUUUCCCUAUGAUGUACCGGGCUGUAUCCGCCAUUUUCUGGAGAUUUUCCCAUUCCGGGGUAUGAUGCAACCAUUUAGGAUUCUCUCCACUGUGCAUCCAUAGACAUUUGUAAAAAUUUUAGAUGUUAUACAAACUUCUAAGAAAGUAGAGGUGCUGUUGUGUCUUCUUUGUGAUGGCACCUACGUGCUGGUCACAGGACAGAUUAGGCCUGAGACCAUCAUAACUGGGAAAGGGGAAACAACUUAGUUUACCUUUUGCGGAGAAGAUGUGGGUGGUAUAAGUAGCUUCCCAUUUAAGAUGGUGCUGGUGAAGUCCAGCAACUACUUUUUUUUAGAUUAUGAGGACAUGCAGUCCUCUUUUAUUGUCAUUUAGUAUUGCAUGCUUUAAGAAAUGAUACAAUGUUUUUCCAGAAUGAUAUCACAGAAACACAUGACAAACUGACUUAAAAACUAAGAAAAACCACAUAAUUAUAACAUAUAGUUACAACAGUGCAAAGCAAUACCGUAAUUUGAUAAGAACAGACCAUGGGCACGGUAAAAGUCUCAAAAGUCUCUCGAAAGUCCCAUCAUCUCACGCAGAUGGUAAACCUCCAGCGCCGCAAACUUGCCGAUGCAGCAUCCUGGCAGUAUCCAACCACAGUCCGACUCUGAGUCCGUCCAAAAUCUCCAAGCCUCCGACCAGCUCUCUGACACCGAGCACCAUUUCUGCCAAGCGCUUCGACUGCAGUCCUGGCAAUAGGCAAAGCCGAGGAUUUGGGGUCUUUCCCUCCGGAGAUUCUCGAUCGCACAGCAGCAGUGGCAGCGAAGCGGGCAUUUCAUAAGUUUCUCCAGGUGUUCCUCUGUGCUUCUCACGUCUGUCUCCAUCAAAUCAGGAUUGUGCACGGCAUCCUACUUCACAAAUACGAUAUCAUUCAGAACAGCCGCACACACUACGUGGCGUCGCCAUCUUCUCCCUCCUUUUGGCAGCAGACAAAGCAAAGAAUACUUUAUUAAUAACACUUUCUCUGGUAAACGAUCACAAACAAUGGAGGCGAGGCCCAUCCACUAAAACGAAAGCAAGGAAAGGCCCGAGUUUUGAUUGCUCUAAGCGCCAGGCCGAUAUGGAAAGGUCAGGUGCGGGCCGAAACAUGGCGGUGAGAUCCAGGCCCAGAAGAUAUCAAGUCAUCAGGACCCGGGGCCUAGAGUGAGGAAUGACUCAAUGUUUGGGCGAUUUAAAUGCUGGGCCAGAUUGGAAAGAUGCCUGCAAGAAAGUGAAUCUCAAGGUAGUAUGUGGUAACAUACUUUGAUAAUAAAUUUGAACUCUUGAACUGACAGCUGGGAGGAUUAUCUUGGCACCUCUGAACGCUGUGCACCUCAAUACCUCUGUACUUCAAUUGCUCGUACAGAUCAUGGUCAACUGUGCUGAAUGCCUCAGACCUGGACUUCAUUUGGGAAUGGAUCUCUCAUGGUUUCCUGUUGGUGAACACUUCUUUGAUACACAGCCCUUUACACACCUAGUGGUAAAAUCUGUUACGCAUUGGCUUAGUCAUUUGGGUUAACUAGUCCACUGACUCAGAGCAGCUAGUUAAGAGCUCAUCUCUUUCCUCAGGUCAGCACCGUACCAGAUCCUCAUGUAUGCUUGAAAGAGUUCAAAAGUACACGUGGACUAAGAUGUUAACUGUUGAAUGAACACAGCUUGAUUAUCUACCUUUUCAAAAUGCUUGUAGUGGAUGGAGCAGUAGACAUGGUUGGUGGUUAUGUAACAGUAUCCAUGUCCUAAUAGUGAAUGUACAAUUAUCAGCACAUCUCCUAUCAGCACACAAGAUGGGCUGAUAAUUGUAGAGGUAUUGUUCGUCAUUUUCAAACCAUCUGAAGCUAAUGGGGUUGUGACACACAACUGAAGAGUUGCAAACAUCACCCUUAUUCAAGAAAGGGUAUAAGGACAAACAAUUUACAGCCCAGUCAGCUUAAUUUCAGCCUUUCAGAAUGAUAAUCAAGAACAUAAUCAGCUAUCAUUUGGACAAUGUGGAGUGAUGAGAAAAAAACCUUUGAUUUGUUGAAGAUGCCGUCUGACCUGCUGAGUAUUUCCAGUACAUCCCAAUUUUGUCUCAGAUUUCCAGAUUCUGCAUUCCCCCCUCCCCACCCCCAAAAUCUAGCAUUGGGUGACUGAAAUGGGCACCCAGAAUGAACCAGUCUCACUUCAAUGAGCACAAAGUUUUCCAGAGGAAAGAAAAAUAAUCCAUAAAU